rnacentral:misc_RNA from 1 species
GCACACGCCAGCUAUGUUGUUGUUAACCAAAACGAUGAGACACUGUGGAAAUAAUCCCACAAAGAUCAUUGGUGUUAGUGAAGUAUUUUUCAGUUCAGGGUUUAGGAGAUUCUGUAUUACUGGUCCAUGCAGUUGGGAAUGCACGGAAAUCUUGUGGCAGUAGUUUAAUGUUCUAUUGGAGUGUAGUCUUGGGGUUGUUCUAGGUUAGCAAUGGAAAGUAAAGUAGUAGACGAAAAUGAGGAAGGUCCGGUUGUUCCCAUGCGAGUUGAUAGAUUUGGUUUUGUGAAGCAGGAACAUGGUCCUACUGAAGGUUUAGCAAGGAGCCGGUCGGCCUUUGAAUAUCAGAGAGAUGAAAGAAGGAUUAGGAAAUGGAGAAAAAUGAUAGGUGUUGGAGGAAGUGAUUGGAAGCAGUAUGUUAGGAGGAAACCACAUGUUGUUAAACGAAGAAUACGGAAAGGAAUUCCUGAUUGUCUGAGGGGGCUUCUCUGGCAGCUAAUUUCUGGAAGUCGAGACCUCUUGUUGUUAAAUCCUGGAGUUUAUGAGCAACUAGUCAUAUAUGAGACAUCAGCUUCCGAGUUGGAUAUUAUUCGAGAUAUUUCUCGCACAUUUCCUUCACAUGUUUUCUUUCAGCAGAGACAUGGACCUGGUCAAAGGUCUCUUUACAAUGUUCUGAAAGCAUAUUCUGUCUUUGACCGAGAUGUUGGAUACGUACAGGGCAUGGGAUUU